CGGGACCGGCGGGAUAACGAGGUGAUAAAGGAGGUGGCGCGGAACGCGCGGAGCACUAGAAACGUGGCGGCGGUGGCUGCGGGCGCUCCUCAGCGCCGAGUGCCAGCCGAGCACCGCCCCCCCCCACCCCGAGAGCGGCAGGAACGGCGGCCGGAGUCAGUUAACGGGGCGGCUCCUGCGCAGAGAACAGUGAAGGCAGCCUGGCCAUGCCCCCUCCGGCUGAUGGACCCCCCCUCCGGCUGACUGCGCCCCCAACUCUGGCUGGCCGCGUGCCCACCCUACCCCCCAACUCCUGCUGACUGCGUGCCCACCCGGCUGACCGCGCGCGCGCCCUCCCACUGCACUCAUGCUGACUGUGCGCCCCCCCACCUCCUCCGGCUGGCCACAUCUCCACUGCACACCAUGGCGGGGAUGGGGCGGGGGGGGGAUCACAAAGGUCUAUGGGGCGGGUGUGGGGGUCAGGGGGGCUGUGGGGUUUAUGGGGUUGUUGUGGGAUGAAACACCCCUGAAGAGGCUGAACGCCCUGCAGAUGAGUGAACCACACGCUGACCCACAGUGCCCCAUAGCACCUCCACUCUGCCGUAUGGAUCCACAACACUGCCCCACAGCACCCUAUAGCUCCUGCUUGCUAUCCCACAGCACCCCAUGGCUUCUCCACUCUGCCCCAUAUGUCUACAGCAGUGCCACAGAGUACCUCAUAUGUCUUCCACUCUGCCCCAUGGAUGCAGAGUGCUGCCCUACAGCACCCUAUAGCUCCUGUACUCUGCCCCAUGGAUGCCCAGUACUGCCCCACAGCACCAUAUAACUCCUGUACUCUGCCCCAAACAUCCACAGGAGUGCCCCACAGCACCCUAUGGCUCCUGCACUCUGCUCUGUAGAUGCCCAGUACUGCCCAACAGCACCAUAUAGUUCCUGUACUCUACCCCAUACAUCCACAGUAGUACCCCCCCCCCCCAGAACCCCUUGGCUCCUGCACUCUGCUCUGUAGAUGCCCAGUACUGCCCAACAGCACCAUAUAGCUCCUGUACUCUACCCCAUACAUCCACAGUAGUACCCCCCAGAACCCCUUGGCUCCUGCACUCUGCUCUGUAGAUGCCCAGUACUGCCCCACAGCACCAUAGAGCUCCUGUACUCUGCCCCAUACAUCCACAGGAGUGACCCCCAGCACCCCAUAGUGACUCUACUCUUCCCCAUAGACCCACAGUGCUGCCGCACAGGACUCUGCUCUGCCCCUUAGACCCAGAGAGCUGCCCCACAGCAGCCUGUAGGUGCUGCGUUCUGCCCCAUUGGUGCAAAGUGCUGCCCCACAGCGCCCCACACCUCUGUCCACCUGACCACCCUUCCCUCCUGACUGCGCCUGCACUGCCCACUAUGGGUGGGUCACAAGGGUCUAUGGGGCGGGUGUGGGGGUCAGGGGGGGCUGUGGGGUCAAUGGGGUGGUUGUGGGGUGAAACACCCCUGAAGAGCCUGAACGCCCUGCAGGUGAGUGAACCACACGCUGACCCACAGUGCCCCAUAGCACCUCCACUCUGCCAUAUGGAUCCACAACACUACCCCACAGCACCCUAUAGCUCCUGCUUGCUAUCCCACAGCACCCCAUGGCUUCUCCACUCUGCCCCAUAUGUCUACAGCAGUGCCACAGAGUACCUCGUAUGUCUUCCACUCUGCCCCAUGGAUGCAGAGUGCUGCCCUACAGCACCCUAUAGCUCCUGUACUCUGCCCCAGAGAUCCACAGUGCUGUCCCACAGCACCCUGUAGCUCUGGCCUAUAGACCCACUGUACUACCCCACAAUGCCCCAUAGCUCCUACGCUCUGCCCCAUAGACCCACAACACUGCCUCACAACACCCCAUUGCUCCUGCACUCUGCCCCAUGGAUGCCCAGUACUGCCCCACAGCACCAUAUAACUCCUGUACUCUGCCCCAUACAUCCACAGGAGUGACCCACAGCACCCCAUAGUGACUCUACUCUUCCCCAUAGAGCCACAGUGCUGCCCCACAGGACUCUACUCUGCCCCUUAGACCCAGAGAGCUGCCCCACAGCAGCCUGUAGGUGCUGCGUUCUGCCCCAUUGGUGCAAAGUGCUGCCCCACAGCACCCCACACCUCUGUCCACCUGAACUACGCCUGCACUGCCCACUAUGAGUGGGUCACAAGGGUCUAUGGGGCGGGUGUGGGGGUCGGGGGGGCUGUGGGGUCAAUGGGGUGGUUGUGGGGUGAAACACCCCUGAAGAGGCUGAACCCCCUACAUGUGAGUGACCCACACAGUGACCCACAGCAGCUCAUAGCCCCUCUGCCCUAUAGAGUCACUGCACCCCAUAGCUGCUUUUACUCUGCCCCAUAAAUGGACAGCACUUCACCACAGCACCCUAUAUCUGCACUCUGCCCCAUAGACACACAGUGCUGUCCCACAGCACCCCAUAUCUUGUUCACUCUGCCCUAUAGACCCACAGUGUAACCCUACAGCACUCCAUGGUUCUUCUGCCCUAUAGAUCAACAGCACUGUCCCAGAAAACACCGUAGCUUCUUCCCACCAGCCCACACGCCAGCAGUUCUGCCCUAUAGCACACUGUAGCUCCUGCACCCUGCCCUAUAGACCCACAGCAGUGCCCCACACAUCUGGUCUGCCCUAUACAUCCACAGCACUGCUCUGCAGCACCAUAUACUUUCAGCACUCUGCCCCAUUGAUAUGUAGCACCCCACAGCUUCUGCAUUCCACCCAUAGAUUGACAUUCUUGGGUCCCCUCACCCCACCAGAUGUCCUGGGUUACAAUGCUGCAUGGGGCCCUGUGCACAACAAAAUGAGGACAGCGUGGCUGCUGGGCUCCACCCUGCUUGGAAUCCAAGAUGGCUGGGGGGGGGGGGAGGGCUGGCAGCCAUGCUGGCACUGCUGGAGGGGCUGUUGGUCUGUGCUGUGCUCAGGCGGCAGCUCCCAGCUGUAUUGGCUGCUUCCAUUGGCUGGCCCUGUGGCCCUGCACCCUGCCCAUGGGAAGAAGAUGGCUGCCCUGAUGGGCGUGGCCCUCUCGGCUGCUGUAUCCCUGCUGGUGGGCGGGGCCAUGACUGUCAUGGCUGCCAAGCCUGUGCUGGAAGGGUGGGGCUGAGGUGGGCGGGGCCUGCCUAGGGCGGCCAUUCUGGGGUGGGGCCCAAGGUGGGUGGUGGGGCCGCUGACUCUGUUUACCCCUGAUGGCUGUCUUGGAAAAGGGCAGCGCUGUGCCGCUGUCAUCCUGACAUUGCUCCCCCAGGGCCAUGUUGGGGGAUUUUUAACCUGGUUUUGGGGCCAAUUCUCACCCAAUAAAAUUAAAUAAUGUAAAAAAA